rnacentral:rRNA from 1 species
AAACCCUGACGAAGCAACGCCGCGUGGAGGAUGAAGGCCUUCGGGUCGUAAACUCCUGUCGACCGGGAAGAAUGCACCUGACCUAAUACGUCGGUGUGUUGACUGUACCGGUGGAGGAAGCCACGGCUAACUCUGUGCCAGCAGCCGCGGUAAUACAGAGGUGGCAAGCGUUGUUCGGAAUUACUGGGCGUAAAGGGCGCGUAGGCGGUUUGUCAAGUCCCGUGUGAAAGCCCCCGGCUCAACCGGGGGAACGGCGCGGGAGACUAGCAGGCUUGAGUUCGGGAGAGGGAAGCGGAAUUCCGGGUGUAGCGGUGAAAUGCGCAGAUAUCCGGAGGAACACCGGUGGCGAAGGCGGCUUCCUGGACCGACACUGACGCUGAGGCGCGAAAGCUAGGGGAGCAAACGGGAUUAGAUACCCCGGUAGUCCUAGCCCUAAACGAUGAGAACUGGGUGUAGGGGGUAUGAACCCCCCCUGUGCCGAAGCUAACGCAUUAAGUUCUCCGCCUGGGGAGUACGGUCGCAAGGCUG